rnacentral:ribozyme from 1 species
AGUGGUUGCAGCCACGAUAAACAGGGCUUUAAGCUGCAAGCGUUGAUCGCCGUACCCGGCGGUCAGGUAGUC